ACAUGCCUACAACAUAACAUUAAUGCGCCAGAUCCCAUUAGAACUCCAUGGUUAAGUGCACACAUGAUAGAGUAGUACUGGGAUGGGCGACUUCCUGGGAAGUCCUAGUAUUUUACAUGCC
rfam:Picea glauca, whole genome shotgun sequence.